GUUUGUGUUUCAACAUUAUUUGCUUUGUUUUUCUAGUUUGGUUUAGACUCCGGGGAAUUUCUUUGUUCCUCCGGCUGUGUCUCCAGGGACUUUUAGUUGUCCGUCGGCUUUGGUUUCCAUUUUUUGGGCGUCUGUAAUCCUAUCAUGGUUCCAAAACAAGCUCUAACAAAAUAUCAGUUCAUGUGAAAAAAAAAAAAAUCAAGCUAAGCAAGUAGGUUUUUAAAUAUAAAUUAAACAUAAAGCAAAUUAAA
rnacentral:lncRNA from 1 species